rnacentral:rRNA from 1 species
UACAGAGGGGGCAAGCGUUAUUCGGAAUUAUUGGGCGUAAAGGGCGCGUAGGCGGCCUGGCAAGUGGAAGGUGAAAUCCCUCGGCUUAACCGAGGAACUGCCCUCCAAACUGCUUGGCUUGAGUCCGGGAGAGGUGAGUGGAACUUCCCAGUGUAGCGGUGAAAUGCGUAGAUAUUGGGAGGAACACCAGUGGCGAAGGCGGCUCACUGGACCGGAACUGACGCUGAGGCGCGAAAGCGUGGGGAGCAAACGGG